AUUGAACGCUGGCGACAUGCCUUACACAUGCAAGUCGAACGGCAGCACGGGUGCUUGCACCUGGUGGCGAGUGGCGAACGGGUGAGUAAUACAUCGGAACAUGUCCUGUAGUGGGGGAUAGCCCGGCGAAAGCCGGAUUAAUACCGCAUACGAACUACGGAAGAAAGCGGGGGACCUUCGGGCCUCGCGCUAUAGGGUUGGCCGAUGGCUGAUUAGCUAGUUGGUGGGGUAAAGGCCUACCAAGGCGACGAUCAGUAGCUGGUCUGAGAGGACGACCAGCCACACUGGGACUGAGACACGGCCCAGACUCCUACGGGAGGCAGCAGUGGGGAAUUUUGGACAAUGGGCGAAAGCCUGAUCCAGCAAUGCCGCGUGUGUGAAGAAGGCCUUCGGGUUGUAAAGCACUUUUGUCCGGAAAGAAAUCCUUGGCCCUAAUACGGUCGGGGGAUGACGGUACCGGAAGAAUAAGCACCGGCUAACUACGUG
rnacentral:rRNA from 1 species